rnacentral:rRNA from 1 species
UACAGAGGUGGCAAGCGUUGUUCGGAAUUACUGGGCGUAAAGGGCGCGUAGGCGGCCCGCUAAGUCGAACGUGAAAUCCCCAGGCUCAACCUGGGAACUGCGUCCGAUACUGGCAGGCUUGAAUCCGGGAGAGGGAUGUGGAAUUCCAGGUGUAGCGGUGAAAUGCGUAGAUAUCUGGAGGAACACCGGUGGCGAAGGCGGCAUCCUGGACCGGCAUUGACGCUGAGGCGCGAAAGCUAGGGGAGCAAACGGG